UCGGUGACAUAAAACCAUUAACAACUAAAAAAAAUUGGACCUACAAGCAGAAGCCAUAAUCACUUUGGCAUCAACAGAAUCAAACCCAUCCAUAAUCUUUAUUCACUGAAAAAAACCACUACAUUACUAUCAUCCUAGUAUAGCCUACAAACUUCAACAGCUGAUUAGAUUAACUUAGAGCAGCGACUAAAAACAUAGUAAAUCACUAUACUUAGCUCUAAAUCUUACCUACUAACCCAUGCUAUCUUGGAUGUUUCAUCCCUGGCAGAUUAAACAAACAUAAUAUUGCAUGUUAAUCACUGGCCUAUUGACUGAUUCUAGCUAAGCUCAAAUGCUGCUAUUAAUUAUGUCAUCAGUAUUCACAUCUAACAUCCUGCAAAUAAGGAGAUCUUCUGAAUUGUCAAGUUAUGUAAUGAGAAUGCAGUGGGGGGUUUUUUACUUGUGGGUGAGGUGCAAUUGAAUACGCAAGAAAAAAAAGAAAGAAAGAAAAGAACCAAAGCGGUACUGUCACAUAAAAUCAAUCAUCUCUGGAUGUAGACCCAAAUGUGUGGAUGCGAGAACUUAAGAGUUACAGAUGUAAGAAGUGAUGUUAUUAUUGAUUUUUAUACAUCGACCAUGUCACCACAAAUUUUUAGAAAUUUGCAUGCAGCAGUCAUUCCUUGAAGCCCUCAGGCAUUCGUUUUAGCUAAAUUAAAUGACUGAGAGUCUGUUACAGUCCUUUUAUAUUUGGACACUAGCACUCAGACAAGGGGAUCCACUCAGCAGAUCAUCUGAGAACUGCAGUAAUUAUGGGCAUGGCCAGUUUUCCAUAUGAGAGAGCUUGCUGCUGAAAGUUUCAAACUCAGACACCACUGCAGCUGGGUGUCUGGGACCAAAAGCCUCCUAAAAACAUGUGGCAAAUCAAUUUUCCUGGGUUAGAAUGACUCUUUGUACCAAACGAUAUUGCAUUAAAGCAAACACGAUGUCUAAAUUAGCACAGCAGAGCUGGGAAACUAUAGCAGCUAAAACUUUUUUCAGACUGUGUGAGUUUUAUGUUCAUAUGCAUCUCACACAGGGUGAGUCUACGUUUUUGCACUUUGUUACCUCAUGCAGGGUGGAACCCACAUAACUGGAAACAAAAACACUGCACUGUGAACUUGCUUUCAGGCCUUUAUAUAGCAUUAGCAAUUUAUAGCUACUGCAUCAAACUGCAUCAGAAGACAUGGAGUUUUCUGUUUGUAAAGUAUACAGUCCCAAAUGACUGUGUUUCAAAUAAAUGCAGAGCACAACAGAAGGUUGUAAUGGAAAUUUUUUUCUGAUGUCUGUAUGCUGUUUUUAUCUGGAGGAAAAAUAAAUCUGCACCUCAAACUCCGCCCACACAACUUCAGUGAACAACGUCUAUGAAAGAUUAACUUUUAUCAAGAUAAAUGAGUUAUCAUCAUUUCCAUGUAGACGCUUUAUAUAAAAUGUAUAUCAACCAACACUAACUUAAUAGUAGGUCUCUUUAACUGCAUGAUAGUAAAAGGGAAGUAAUUUCUAAACAGCAUUAACCAAGUCACACGGCUUCCAGUUCAUUAUUUUAUAGAUGUUAUAUUUAUUUUUCACUGUUUCUGCGAGUCUGUUGGUUUUAUUAGUACUAGGGAUGUGGCCAAAAGGUCCUAUCACAAUCCUUUUUGGGUAGAAUCGAUCUCUAAAUGACAAUUCUCCCCACAGAUAGUUGAUCUGAACCAAUUAGAUGAUUAGUUGUGCUUCUGAUUGCCUGGAAACAGCCAAACUCUCAAAUCUCUGCAUCCUUUUCCUGUUGUAAUUUAAAUCUUAGCAUUAGUCUUCGUCUUCUUUUUUAUUUUUAUCUUGUGUUACAACUAGUCACGCCCAGUUCAUGUGAAGUAGGAAAGUUUGGACAGGGAAGUUAUUAAUUUGAUUUUUUUUUUUUUUAAUGGAGCAUUUGUUUUAUUUAUUUCACUUACUGUUAACCAGCUAGUUCCUUGUCCUGUUACAUGUCCAUGCCUGCGUGGUGGCGGUUAGUCCCUAUUGUGGCAGUUGCUGAUGUCAGUACUUGUCCAAUGAGUCUCAAGUCCUGUGGGUUAACCCUCCCCUGGUGAAUCCAAGUGGAACUGGUUCAUGUACUGAUACGCUAAGUUCACCAAGGCCUCAAAGCAAAAGGACUAUCAUCUCCGCCAGCUGCAGUUGAAGACAGAGGAAGUAGAGUCCAACCACAGAGCAAGAGACUCACAGGAGAUAGCUGAACUGCAUUGAUAGCAACUGAACUUUCACAUUAAGAUACGUAAAUAUAGCACCUUUUAAAUAUGUGACGCCAUUAUUCCUUUGAAAAUCUAUCAAGGAUGCAAACUAAUCCAUUGCUAAAUGCCACCUGAAUUUUAUGCCACUGAGAAGAAAGCAGCAGGAUCAACCUUUUAUUCUAGAAACAUACAGGAGGACUUUGCAUUACAUUUCUUUGUGUCCGAAAUGGUGUACGGAGUACUCAGAUCUUUAACUUGACCAAAGGUUAAUCUUACUUUCCUUGACACGCAACUGUACAGCGCAUAGAUAUUCAUACAUCAUCAUGAGGCAGCGCACUAGAACCAUUAAUGUUCUCUAUUCUUUUAAUCUGAACAAUAACUACUAAGUAAAGCUUUUGAAGUAAUGUAGCAGAUGAAAACAUGCAAUACUUCCAUCUGAACUGCAGCAGAAUCCCCAAGUUUCAGUACCUCAAAACUAUGACUAUGUAUGGUACUUGAGUUAACAGAAGUUACAUUUACUUUUUCACAACUGACCGUGACGCCAUAUGUCAUGCCAAGACUCGUGUUAUGUUAAAUACUCCCAGAUAAGUAUGCUGCAUUACAUAAGCAGGAGUGUUGUGAAAAGGUGUGAUCUGAUAUUCCCUCUACUAGAUCAUUUCUCUUGUGCGCCCUCUUUCUUUGUGAGAAAACAUGACCUACUUCACUUAUUUCAGCCUGGCUUAUUAUACCAGUACUUUUGUAACCACGAAGUUAAUGAGUACACACUGGAGGGGUUAAAUCUAUAGGAUUUACAGUA
ensembl:lncRNA